rnacentral:rRNA from 1 species
UACAGAGGGGGCAAGCGUUAUUCGGAAUUAUUGGGCGUAAAGGGCGCGUAGGCGGCUUUUCAAGUGACGGGUGAAAUCCCUCGGCUUAACCGAGGAACUGCCUGUCAGACUGGAAGGCUUGAGACCGGGAGAGGUGAGUGGAAUUCCCAGUGUAGCGGUGAAAUGCGUAGAUAUUGGGAGGAACACCAGUGGCGAAGGCGACCACCUGGACUGAUACUGACACUGAGGUGCGAAAGCGUGGGGAGCAAACAGG